rnacentral:rRNA from 1 species
AGAGUUUGAUCCUGGCUCAGAUUGAACGCUGGCGGCAUGCCUUACACAUGCAAGUCGAACGGCAGCAUGAUCUAGCUUGCUAGAUUGAUGGCGAGUGCGAACGGGUGAGUAAUACAUCGGAACGUGCCCUGUAGUGGGGGAUAACUAGUCGAAAGAUUAGCUAAUACCGCAUACGACCUGAGGGUGAAAGUGGGGGACCGCAAGGCCUCAUGCUAUAGGAGCGGCCGAUGUCUGAUUAGCUAGUUGGUGNGGUAAAGGCCCACCAAGGCGACGAUCAGUAGCUGGUCUGAGAGGACGAUCAGCCACACUGGGACUGAGACACGGCCCAGACUCCUACGGGAGGCAGCAGUGGGGAAUUUUGGACAAUGGGCGAAAGCCUGAUCCAGCAAUGCCGCGUGUGUGAAGAAGGCCUUCGGGUUGUAAAGCACUUUUGUCCGGAAAGAAAUGGCUCUGGUUAAUACCUGGGGUCGAUGACGGUACCGGAAGAAUAAGGACCGGCUAACUACGUGCCAGCAGCCGCGGUAAUACGUAGGGUCCAAGCGUUAAUCGGAAUUACUGGGCGUAAAGCGUGCGCAGGCGGUUGUGCAAGACCGAUGUGAAAUCCCCGAGCUUAACUUGGGAAUUGCAUUGGUGACUGCACGGCUAGAGUGUGUCAGAGGGGGGUAGAAUUCCACGUGUAGCAGUGAAAUGCGUAGAGAUGUGGAGGAAUACCGAUGGCGAAGGCAGCCCCCUGGGAUAACACUGACGCUCAUGCACGAAAGCGUGGGGAGCAAACAGGAUUAGAUACCCUGGUAGUCCACGCCCUAAACGAUGUCAACUAGUUGUUGGGGAUUCAUUUCCUUAGUAACCGUAGCUAACGCGUGAAAGUUGACCGCCUGGGGAGUACGNCGCAAGAUUAAAACUCAAAGGAAUUGCCCGCAACGAGCGCAACCCUUGUCUCUAGUUGCUACGAAAGGGCACUCUAGAGAGACUGCCGGUGACAAACCGGAGGAAGGUGGGGAUGACGUCAAGUCCUCAUGGCCCUUAUGGGUAGGGCUUCACACGUCAUACAAUGGUGCAUACAGAGGGUUGCCAAGCCGCGAGGUGGAGCUAAUCCCAGAAAAUGCAUCGUAGUCCGGAUCGUAGUCUGCAACUCGACUACGUGAAGCUGGAAUCGCUAGUAAUCGCGGAUCAGCAUGCCGCGGUGAAUACGUUCCCGGGUCUUGUACACACCGCCCGUCACACCAUGGGAGUGGGCUUUACCAGAAGUAGUUAGCCUAACCGCAAGGAGGGCGAUUACCACGGUAGGGUUCAUGACUGGGGUGAAGUCGUAACAAGGUAACC